GACUCUGAACAAUCUGAGGAGGACGCUGCGUGAAUUGCUAUCAAGAGGCUCCGUGACGAACUUGGCUUUGAAGUUAAGGAUCUAUAUCUAUACCUAUACAUUAUUUCCCAUGAAGCCUUGCCACGUGGCAGUCCCUCCUUUAUCCUUACCUUCUCCUCUCUUCUCUAAUCACAAUUGUUAACCUUUGAUAUUCCAAUCAAUGAACGAUUUUAAACCCAUACUCUUCAUCUCCCCAUUAAGGAGUUACUAACGCAUCAUUAACUUUAAUAAUUACGAUGAUCCACACAAUUAGCACCACUAAAACCCCAUCAUCAUCAUUCUUCUCUUCUCUAAUCACAAUUAUUAACCUUUGAUCUUCCAAUCAAUGAACGAUCUUAAACCUACACUCUUCAUCUCCCCACCAAGGAGUUACUAACGCAUCAUUAACUUUAAUAAUUACGAUGAUCCACACAAUUAGCACCACUAAAACCCCAUCAUCAUCAUCUCCUCAUUCUCCAAAACCAAAUACUACACUCCAACAAUGUUCUAUGUUACAAACCAACUCUUUUUUCUAUUAUUCUUAUUAUUAUUCUCGAACGCGAGUACGAACCCGUCAACGCCAUUCAGGUCGAGCCAUGAUUGUUCGGGCGCGUUGUUUGUUUUCAAUGAAUGCUUCGAGUUUGUGGAGGGCGGGGCGAACGGGGCCGAAUCGGGGUUGUUGCUCCGGGAUCGGUCACAUGCUGAGCCGGAGCGU
rnacentral:lncRNA from 1 species